rnacentral:tRNA from 1 species
AAAAAAAGAAUGUCUAUGUAGCACCAUUUUGUCUUCUUUUUGACUCCAACAUUUUCAUAUUUUCUUUUGGGGAACUCCUAGAGUCCUUCUUUGCCGGAAAAGUAAGAAUUCCAAAUGAUACUUACCUUCAUUUUCUGUGAAGCCUGUAUGUUUUACCUUCAGAGAACCAACACACUGGAUGCAAGAAAUUUGCCAUGUUUGUGUGAAUCUCUUUGAGAAAAGUUAAAAUAUAAAAUAAUUAACUAAAAUGGGUUCGUAGGAGAAAAUAUAAGGCAGCUGAUUGAUAACUAACCAACAGCAUAAGUCAAAAAAAAAAAAAAUCUUAGAUUCAUAUAGGAGAACAGGAGGAUAAGAAAGGCUUCAGUACAUUCGAUCUAGAAGCACAUAAUCUGAGUAUGUGUAACUUGACUUUAAGCAUCAUGCAAAAUAGGAAAUGGCCCUCCUAUAAUUAUUUAUUUUAUUAGUCAAACGAAGUUACAGGUUAACAAAGGCUUAAAAAAUUAAUGCUUGUAUACAUAUCUGAAUUAUCUUCAAAAGCUGGAAAAUGCAAUUUUAGAAGUGGCUUAAGUUGUAUUUAGAGUACUUUAGAGUCAAGUUCCUUUUUAUUAGUUGAUUGUAAAUAACAUCUGUUUAAAAAAGCAUUAUGUAUUCUAAAUUUUAGAUUCAGUAAUAUUAAAAACGAAUUGAAUUUCUAUAAUGGAAAAAGUAGCAAAUCACGAAUGAAAGAGUAACAAAACGCGACUCAGUUACCAUUGAGGAAAAGUGGUAAUUCCCUGACCGGGAAUCGAACCCGGGCCGCGGCGGUGAGAGCGCCGAAUCCUAACCACUAGACCACCAGGGAACCUGCUUGGGCUGCUCCUCAGAGUGUAUUUGCUUCUUUAGAAAUCGUCACCUAGGCGUGACCAGUGGAAAGCAAGACUGCCUGUAAGCCCUGCCCACCUCGUUCUUAUUUUAGGUUUCAGUCUCCUAAACUCCAUCAAAUUCGCGCUGCGCACUCGGCGAGCUCGGCAGCGGCUCCCAAGAAAAAAAAGCCAGAUCUUCCAAACAGAAUCUUCUUCCGACUGCCAUGCUGGAAAAGGCAUCCUUAGAUUUCGUCCCAACUGUGUUAAAUACUGCCGCCGGCGGAGAGCGUUUCCGGUUGUAGAGCUGGGUGCGACACUGCACACGUCCCUGGCACAGAGCACUGUAAAUGCGAGUGAGGAAGGGCCUCUUGGCCUCGUAGGACGCGGCUGUUUCUAUUUACUUGUGUGAGAGUAAGAUUAAAGAAGCUGAGAUAGCUGUGGGUGAUUUGCUUAGUGAAGAACUGGGGCCUCUGCACCCUGAUCCAAGAAAACCCUGAAAACCCACUGUUUCCAUUAUCUUCCUGUUUUUUCAAACGGUGUUAUUUUCUCGGCAAUUGCUUCCCCUCUCCGCGUUGUGAGCGAGACACGACCAGGAAAUGAUGCAAUUACCAAAGAAGUCAAGAAACCUUCUAGCCCGCCAUCAGUUCAGAAACUCGCAUGAAAUAGGAGCAGACGGCAAGAGAAUGUAACUUUGAAAGUGCCAACCAUUACAGUUGAAUAAAUGUAACCCAAGAGAUCCCGCUCCGCUGCA